GGUAACUUCAAACGAGAAGCGCUCGGAGAGCCUGAAGAGUGAUGGCGAUGCUCUGCUCCGUGCUCUGCAGAGCCUGGCCCAGCCCGCCAGGCAGCUGAAGAACAGAGAUGCUUUUGUUUUUAAAUACCUGUGGCUUCCCAGCAAAGGCAGGAGGCUGCGGGCACUGCCAGGGCUUCCUCUGCAGGAUCAGAGGUGCUGGUCCCAGCAGCUUGGCCAGGCCUCAGCUCCUCGCUGUUGGACUUUUCCUCACCUAAUCCCCCCCUUGGAUAUACAAAUGAAUGAAUUUGCUGUUCUCUGCACCCCAACUGUGGGCUGUUAGGCUGCAUUUUGCUCCUGGUCAAAAUAAGUCAGAGAUUGUAUUUUAUAGAGAAAUUCUUGAAACGCUCAGUCUGCGCAGUGCUCUUUGUGCUCCCAAACACAGGCUGGGCUGACUCCUCAAUGUCACCUUGCAUUGGGAGCAGGGAUGUGAGUAGAGAGGAAAUGGUCAGGAAGUGGUGAGUGUGAGGAGCUGUGUGCUGGGACACACCAAGCCCAUCCUGAACAGCCUAUGUUCCCUCAGCUGCUGACUCAUGUUUUUCAUAUGACAUGGUAAAUUAUCCAACUAGCAUAAAAUAGCAGCUCUCCCGAAGGGAGACACUGGCACCACCACUG
rnacentral:lncRNA from 7 species